AACGCACAUUGCGCCCGCUAGUAUUCUGGCGGGCAUGCCUGUUCGAGCGUCAUUUCAACCCUCGAGCCCCUCUGGGCUUGGUGUUGGGGUGCGGCCUCCCGCCCUUAGGGCGCGGCCGGCCCUGAAAAUCAGUGGCGGUCUCGCUGCAGCCUCCCUUGCGUAGUAGCACACCUCGCACUGGAGCGCGGCGCGGCCACGCCGUCAAAACGUAGCCCUAGGGCACAAUUUUAUAAGGUUGACCUCGGAUCAGGUAGGGAUACCCGCUGAACUUAA
rnacentral:misc_RNA from 1 species